UAUAAAAAGUCCCUUAUCCAAAUAAAAGUCCCAUAGUUAAAAUCUCCAUAUUGUUUGUUGGCCUCACGACAUUAGGGUCCAUGGGUGAACUGUCCACAAGAUACUUUGAGUAUAUCCAUUAUUGAUCAUCAAUAACACGACAGUUUUCCUUCCAAUUGUUCGGCUACAUAACUUCCGAAACAGAGCACUGAGAACAAAGGUUGUUGUUGCCGACAUUAAUUUUAAGGGCAUGUGAAACUAUUAAUUGGAAUUAAAUUCAUGGAACUAGUAUUUUUCUCCCACUGCUCGCUUUAUUUGGAAUGCUGAAGAUUUGAUAGACGGCCGGUAGCUCGACUUCUAUAGGAAAAGGAAAGGUGAACCUUGAAGUUUGUCGAUGAUGGCGAUAAACCAUAUUAGAACAAGAAUUUUCAGGUGACCGGAAUUGAACAAAAAAAAUUAAAACUGAACCAGGCAGAGGGUGAAGUAAACUCGUGCUGGAAGCAAAAUCAGGGGGUUCGACAACUGGGGUUUGGGAGAAGGAAGUUAACAUGGAAACAAGAUCACCAAGAGGGGACAACGUGAGGUUCUCAAGCACAAACUUUCCUCCAACUUUGUGGGGUAAAAGGAAAAGAAAAUCCAAAGAGGAACACAUAACCAUACAAUAGAGACAAUAUGGGAUUAGACGAGGACAUAAAUAUUGCAGAAUGGUGAGGAAUGACUCAGUCAGAUUAUACCCUAUGGAACAUUUGUCCCACCAGAAAAAUCAAGUCACUAUAAUGGGAAUAGGGGAUGGCAAACUAAUUCUAAAUUGGUACAAAGAAUGGCCAGAAAAUGUUAAAGCAAGAAUCCAACUUACCCGUCUCCAAACUUUGGUAGAUGACAUUAAUCGCUACAACAUAGAUCUACCUUUGAUACAAUGUCUCGCAGAGAAAUGGUGGGACCCUACACACACAUUCAUCUUGGAGAGAUGAUAAUGACCCCAAAGGAUUUUAGUGCAAUAACUAGAAUAGCUAUCGAAGGCAGACCUUUGAAGAUUGAUAAACAAAUUCAUAAAAAAAAUAUAUAUAAUUGAAAGAUAUUUAGGACAACCCUUGGUAAGUACAAGGCAGAGAAGAGUAGAAAUUUGUUGGUUGUAUGAGACAUCAAAAUAUGAUUAUCACAACCAUUGAGGAAGAAGAAAUAUUAAUCAAAGUGUUCUUGUUGGACCUACUCGGGCCAACUUUAUUUGCAAGACAGAACAACUUGGUGAAUGUGUCUUUCUUACGCUCAAUAGAUAGUCUUGAACAAAUCAAUAUGUACAAUUGGGGUGCAGCUAGAUUGGCUUAUUGUUACAAGAAAAUGGAUGAUUUAUGCAUAUAAUGGACAAAGUCAAUAGGUGGACUUGAGAAAGCAUGAGAAGUAAUAUAAUUACACAAAAAUGCUUAUGCAAAUUCAGUUAUUGCUUCGAAAUUAAAAGUAUUAAUUUUCAACGUGUGAAAUUUGAAAUACUGGUAAGGGGUAGAGAGUACUUACCCUGUUUGCGUGUUACAUCUCAAUGUACCAUAUAAAAUAUAUUUCCAAGAACCAUGCUAUGGAUGAACUGCCCUCCGCAAACCAUGGAACACACAAUCCUCGAAGAAUACUAUUGGGAAAAACUAGAUCACCUCGCAUUUAAAUAUGUAAGCAAAAAUGGUAGUUCAAUCAUUACCUAUUUUUCAAUGUAGAAAAGCAUCACAUCACCACUAAUUAUGUUAGGUA